rnacentral:rRNA from 1 species
AGAGUUUGAUCAUGGCUCAGGAUGAACGCUAGCGACAGGCUUAACACAUGCAAGUCGAGGGGUAACAGGGUAGCAAUACCGCUGACGACCGGCGCACGGGUGAGUAACGCGUAUGCAACCUGCCUAUAACUGGGGAAUAGCUCCCUGAAAGGGGAAUUAACACCGCAUAACACUAUUGAUUCGCAUGGAUUGGUAGUUAAAUGUAGCGAUACAGGUUAUAGAUGGGCAUGCGUGACAUUAGCUAGUUGGUGAGGUAACGGCUCACCAAGGCUACGAUGUCUAGGGGUUCUGAGAGGAAGGUCCCCCACACUGGUACUGAGACACGGACCAGACUCCUACGGGAGGCAGCAGUGAGGAAUAUUGGUCAAUGGGCGCAAGCCUGAACCAGCCAUGUCGCGUGCAGGAAGACUGCCCUAUGGGUUGUAAACUGCUUUUAUAGUAGAAGAAACACAUCUACGCGUAGAUGUCUGCCAGUAUACUAUGAAUAAGCAUCGGCUAACUCCGUGCCAGCAGCCGCGGUAAUACGGAGGAUGCAAGCGUUAUCCGGAUUUAUUGGGUUUAAAGGGUGCGUAGGCGGGACUGUAAGUCAGGGGUGAAAUACUGCAGCUUAACUGUAGCAUUGCCUUUGAAACUGCCGUUCUUGAGUACAGUUGAGGUAGGCGGAAUGUGGUGUGUAGCGGUGAAAUGCAUAGAUAUACCACAGAACGCCGAUUGCGAAGGCAGCUUACUAAGCUGUUACUGACGCUGAGGCACGAAAGCGUGGGGAUCAAACAGGAUUAGAUACCCUGGUAGUCCACGCUGUAAACGAUGAUUACUGGUUGUUAGCGAUAUAUAGCUAGUGACUGAGCGAAAGCAUUAAGUAAUCCACCUGGGGAGUACGUCGGCAACGAUGAAACUCAAAUGAAUUGACGG